rnacentral:rRNA from 1 species
AGCGAACGCUGGCGGCAGGCUUAACACAUGCAAGUCGAGCGGGCCCUUCGGGGUCAGCGGCAGACGGGUGAGUAACGCGUGGGAACGUACCCUUUGGUUCGGAAUAACUCAGGGAAACUUGAGCUAAUACCGGAUACGCCCUUUUUGGGGAAAGGCUUGCUGCCGAAGGAUCGGCCCGCGUCUGAUUAGCUUGUUGGUGAGGUUAUGGCUCACCAAGGCGACGAUCAGUAGCUGGUCUGAGAGGAUGAUCAGCCACACUGGGACUGAGACACGGCCCAGACUCCUACGGGAGGCAGCAGUGGGGAAUAUUGGACAAUGGGGGCAACCCUGAUCCAGCCAGGCCGCGUGAGUGACGACGGCCUUAGGGUUGUAAAGCUCUGUUCUCCGGGACGAUAAUGACGGUACCGGAGGAAUAAGCCCCGGCUAACUUCGUGCCAGCCGCCGCCGUAA